UACGAAGGGGGCUAGCGUUGCUCGGAAUCACUGGGCGUAAAGGGUGCGUAGGCGGGUCUUUAAGUCAGGGGUGAAAUCCUGGAGCUCAACUCCAGAACUGCCUUUGAUACUGAAGAUCUUGAGUUCGGGAGAGGUGAGUGGAACUGCGAGUGUAGAGGUGAAAUUCGUAGAUAUUCGCAAGAACACCAGUGGCGAAGGCGGCGCUCUGGACCGAGACUGACGCUGAGGCGCGAAGGCGUGGGGAGCAAACAGG
rnacentral:rRNA from 1 species